rnacentral:misc_RNA from 1 species
UUCAUAGGAUAACCCAAUGGAAAGAAACUCAGACAUUUCCUUCUGUCGAAAGAUUCGUACUAAGUUACAACCGGAGAUGUCCAACAAAAAGACUACGCUUUUAGAACGCUUCAUAAAGGACCUUAAUAUGCAUUAUUAUUCGCCAAGUAAUGCUUCAGAAUAUUUGCAGGAAGAUAAGUUUUUCAAAGAUGGCACCGAAUCAGAAAAUAUAUCAGAGACGGAGGAUUUAUUUUCUAGUGAAGCUACCAAAUAUAUAUUGCCAUCGAGCGUCUCUGCUGUAUACAAUAUUAAUGCGGGAAAAAGACUUGAUACUUUUGGGAUUAGUGAACAAUCUGCGACGAAAAUUCAAGGGUGGGAUAGACAGAACAACCCGGAAGUUACAAGUGAUGCCGUGGGCUUGUAUGACUACUUUUAUAUCUAUUAAUGAAACAAGAGUUAUGCGUUCGCUCACUUGAGUAUAGAGGACAAUUUGAUUACAUCAAAAACAAUACCUACAUAGAUAUAUAAGUAUAUUCCACAUUCAAUCACCAGGAAAAACAGCAGCUAAUCAUCGUUUAUAUUCGAGGAAGUAUACGGGCCUGUGAGUAGAAAUUGAUUGCAAAAGUUUAUUUAGCCAAUAUUUAUUAAAUAUAGUGUAACUAUUUUUAUUGCAUUACUUUAUACUUUUUAAUUAUCAUUCCCAAGAAGGAAAUUAGUGAUUCCAGCGAUUUGGACUAUUGCGGAUAGAUUAGAGUUCCUUUGAUCCAACCAAGCCACAAUUUGUAUUUUUUAUCUUGGAAUAUCUCCGCUGUUAUCUAAAACACUUCUACCAUAACAAUACUUAAGGAAAGAGUAAGCUUAAUUCGUGUAAAAUAAGGCUUUUUAUGAAACAGUUAAAAUCUAGUUUUAAAAACCAAUCGCACAUAUUACAUAUUCUGUUAUAUUGUUAUUCAGAAAUGUAAAAUUAUACUGCAAUGACACCCAUAACUUGAUGCUGGAUCAUUUGAAAUCAAAAAUAUAUCGUCCGAUAAUCUUUCAGGUAACGCUGGGAGGUUAUUCGAAUUUUCACUUUUUGGAAACAAUUUGAAGCAGAAAACACAAUUUUUUGCGAUUAUUAACGAAUUUAAAAAAAAUACUCCAGUGUACUCCAAAUUUUCAAUACAAUCGGUCUGAUAGCUGUGAGAUGCACCGGCUUGGAGAACGUGAGUUGUGAUAAUAACAUUUCAACGUUCUGAAAACUGAUGUAAAACGUUUUUGGGACAGAUAUUAACAAAACAUUCUUGA